UACGUAGGGGGCUAGCGUUGUCCGGAUUUAUUGGGCGUAAAGAGCGUGUAGGCGGCCUGGUAGGUCUGCUGUGAAAACUCGAGGCUCAACCUCGAGAUGUCGGCGGAAACCAUCUGGCUAGAGUCCGGAAGAGGAGAGUGGAAUUCCUGGUGUAGCGGUGAAAUGCGCAGAUAUCAGGAAGAACACCUAUGGCGAAGGCAGCUCUCUGGGACGGGACUGACGCUGAGACGCGAAAGCGUGGGGAGCGAACAGG
rnacentral:rRNA from 1 species